GGUUGUAUAGUGUAGUGGUUAGCACAUCGGAUUUUGAUUCCGAUAACCUGGGUUCGAGUCCCAGUACGACCU
rnacentral:tRNA from 1 species